CCGUAAGAAUUAACAUACAGAUGUUCUACCUGAUUUUACUUCACACUACUUCGCAAAUCCUUACAUCCGUUAUGAUCGAAAACCGUCACAUUGCGCGUUCGAAAAGUUAUUUACGUCAUAGUUUACGAAUCCUCAAAUCAGAGGCGAUUAUUUGAAAUAGAGGGAAUGUUCUCUAGAUAUUAUUCCUAGCCGGUCAAUAUCAAAAAAAUAUUGACCGGUCAAUAUUUUUCGGGCGAGCUAAUAUUACAUUUAUUGACUAUUCGUCUAUAUAGAGUUAUAUAGUGAUAAUAUACUACUGAAUAUAACAAUAAAAAAUAUUGAGUGGUCAAUAUUUUUCGGACGAGCUAAUAUUAUUAACUCUCAUGUGGUGUUUAUUUUUUGUAGCAAGUGGAUUUGAAGCAACGUUAAGAGAAUGCUGGAGAGGUGUUAGAUGGAGAUGUUGAGGUAAAACAUGUCUGGAGGGUUACUUGAGCAGAUCUACAUCCUUUUCUUGCACAGUUCUUCAGUUCAGAACAAAGAUCAUGAAUGAAAAGAACAAAAGAAAAAAGAAGCAUUCCAAUCGAUUAAAAAACUUUUUUUUUUAGAUUUUUUAAACCAAAACUUUAAAUCAAAUGCCUUCGUUUACUCCCUUUUAGCUAACCGGAGAUGAAAGCUCAUGUGAGCUUUUCAGAUCACUUUUUUGUAUGGCAUCUGUCUGUCAACUUUCAUAUUUUCAACUUAUUCCCUAGAACCACUUGGCUAAUUUCAACCAAACUUGGCAUGAAGAAACCUUGUGUAAAUGGCAUUCAAA